GAAAUGCGAUAAGUAAUGUGAAUUGCAGAAUUCCGUGAAUCAUCGAAUCUUUGAACGCAUAUUGCGCCCUCUGGUAUUCCGGGGGGCAUGCCUGUCCGAGCGUCAUUACUACCAUCAAGCGCGGCUUGUUUGUUGAGCCUUGUUCUUUAUGAACAGGCUUGAAAUGCAGUGGCGACUGCCUGGCCUGGUGCCCGAGUGUAUGGAGCUUUGUCACACGCUCUGGUGGCCCACCUGGCAUUCUGUCAACAUUGAUUGGCUUUGUAUCUGGAUUGACCUCGGAUCAGGUAGGAAAACCCGCUGAACUUAA
rnacentral:misc_RNA from 1 species